rnacentral:rRNA from 1 species
GACGAACGCUGGCGGCGUGCUUAACACAUGCAAGUCGAACGGAAAGGCCCUGCUUGCAGGGUCCUCGAGGGGCAAACGGGGGGGUAACAGGUGGGGGAUCGGCCCUGCACUUCGGGAUAGGCCUGGGAAACGGGGUCUAAUACCGGAUAGGGGCCAUUUUUAGGGGGAGGGUGGGAAAGUUUUUUCGGUGUAGGAUGAGCUCGCGGCCUAUCAGCUUGUUGGUGGGGUAAUGGCCUACCAAGGCGGCGACGGGUAGCCGGCCUGAGGGGGUGGACGGCCACAUUGGGACUGAGAUACGGCCCAGACUCCUACGGGAGGCAGCAGUGGGGAAUAUUGCACAAUGGGCGCAAGCCUGAUGCAGCGACGCCGCGUGGGGGAUGACGGCCUUCGGGUUGUAAACUCCUUUCGCUAGGGACGAAGCUUUUUGUGACGGUACCUAGAUAAGAAGCACCGGCUAACUACGUG